GACGAACGCUGGCGGCGUGCUUAACACAUGCAAGUCGAACGGAAAGGCCCUGCUUUUGUGGGGUGCUCGAGUGGCGAACGGGUGAGUAACACGUGAGUAACCUGCCCUUGACUUUGGGAUAACUUCAGGAAACUGGGGCUAAUACCGGAUAGGAGCUCCUGCUGCAUGGUGGGGGUUGGAAAGUUUCGGCGGUUGGGGAUGGACUCGCGGCUUAUCAGCUUGUUGGUGGGGUAGUGGCUUACCAAGGCUUUGACGGGUAGCCGGCCUGAGAGGGUGACCGGCCACAUUGGGACUGAGAUACGGCCCAGACUCCUACGGGAGGCAGCAGUGGGGAAUAUUGCACAAUGGGCGGAAGCCUGAUGCAGCAACGCCGCGUGCGGGAUGACGGCCUUCGGGUUGUAAACCGCUUUCGCCUGUGACGAAGCGUGAGUGACGGUAAUGGGUAAAGAAGCACCGGCUAACUACGUGCCAGCAGCCGCGGUGAUACGUAGGGUGCGAGCGUUGUCCGGAUUUAUUGGGCGUAAAGGGCUCGUAGGUGGUUGAUCGCGUCGGAAGUGUAAUCUUGGGGCUUAACCCUGAGCGUGCUUUCGAUACGGGUUGACUUGAGGAAGGUAGGGGAGAAUGGAAUUCCUGGUGGAGCGGUGGAAUGCGCAGAUAUCAGGAGGAACACCAGUGGCGAAGGCGGUUCUCUGGGCCUUUCCUGACGCUGAGGAGCGAAAGCGUGGGGAGCGAACAGGCUUAGAUACCCUGGUAGUCCACGCUGUAAACGGUGGGUACUAGGUGUGGGGUCCAUUCCACGGGUUCCGUGCCGUAGCUAACGCUUUAAGUACCCCGCCUGGGGAGUACGGCCGCAAGGCUAAAACUCAAAGGAAUUGACGGGGCCCCGCACAAGCGGCGGAGCAUGCGGAUUAAUUCGAUGCAACGCGUAGAACCUUACCUGGGUUUGACAUGGAUCGGGAGUGCUCAGAGAUGGGUGUGCCUCUUUUGGGGUCGGUUCACAGGUGGUGCAUGGCUGUCGUCAGCUCGUGUCGUGAGAUGUUGGGUUAAGUCCCGCAACGAGCGCAACCCUUGUUCACUGUUGCCAGCACGUUAUGGUGGGGACUCAGUGGAGACCGCCGGGGUCAACUCGGAGGAAGGUGGGGAUGACGUCAAGUCAUCAUGCCCCUUAUGUCCAGGGCUUCACGCAUGCUGCAAUGGCUGGUACAGAGGGUGGCGAGCCUGUGAGGGUGAGCGAAUCUCGGAAAGCCGGUCUCAGUUCGGAUUGGGGUCUGCAACUCGACCUCAUGAAGUCGGAGUCGCUAGUAAUCGCAGAUCAGCAACGCUGCGGUGAAUACGUUCCCGGG
rnacentral:rRNA from 1 species